AGCGUACACGGUGGAUGCCCUGGCAGUCAGAGGCGAUGAAGGACGUGCUAAUCUGCGAUAAGCGUCGGUAAGGUGAUAUGAACCGUUAUAACCGGCGAUUUCCGAAUGGGGAAACCCAGUGUGUUUCGACACACUAUCAUUAACUGAAUCCAUAGGUUAAUGAGGCGAACCGGGGGAACUGAAACAUCUAAGUACCCCGAGGAAAAGAAAUCAACCGAGAUUCCCCCAGUAGCGGCGAGCGAACGGGGAGCAGCCCAGAGCCUGAAUCAGUGUGUGUGUUAGUGGAAGUGUCUGGAAAGGCGCGCGAUACAGGGUGACAGCCCCGUACACAAAAAUGCACAUGCUGUGAGCUCGAUGAGUAGGGCGGGACACGUGGUAUCCUGUCUGAAUAUGGGGGGACCAUCCUCCAAGGCUAAAUACUCCUGACUGACCGAUAGUGAACCAGUACCGUGAGGGAAAGGCGAAAAGAACCCCGGCGAGGGGAGUGAAAAAGAACCUGAAACCGUGUACGUACAAGCAGUGGGAGCCCUGAUUUAUCAGGGUGACUGCGUACCUUUUGUAUAAUGGGUCAGCGACUUAUAUUCUGUAGCAAGGUUAACCGAAUAGGGGAGCCGGAGGGAAACCGAGUCUUAACUGGGCGUUAAGUUGCAGGGUAUAGACCCGAAACCCGGUGAUCUAGCCAUGGGCAGGUUGAAGGUUGGGUAACACUAACUGGAGGACCGAACCGACUAAUGUUGAAAAAUUAGCGGAUGACUUGUGGCUGGGGGUGAAAGGCCAAUCAAACCGGGAGAUAGCUGGUUCUCCCCGAAAGCUAUUUAGGUAGCGCCUCGUGAAUUCAUCUCCGGGGGUAGAGCACUGUUUCGGCAAGGGGGUCAUCCCGACUUACCAACCCGAUGCAAACUGCGAAUACCGGAGAAUGUUAUCACGGGAGACACACGGCGGGUGCUAACGUCCGUCGUGAAGAGGGAAACAACCCAGACCGCCAGCUAAGGUCCCAAAGUCAUGGUUAAGUGGGAAACGAUGUGGGAAGGCCCAGACAGCCAGGAUGUUGGCUUAGAAGCAGCCAUCAUUUAAAGAAAGCGUAAUAGCUCACUGGUCGAGUCGGCCUGCGCGGAAGAUGUAACGGGGCUAAACCAUGCACCGAAGCUGCGGCAGCGACACUGUGUGUUGUUGGGUAGGGGAGCGUUCUGUAAGCCUGUGAAGGUGUGCUGUGAGGCAUGCUGGAGGUAUCAGAAGUGCGAAUGCUGACAUAAGUAACGAUAAAGCGGGUGAAAAGCCCGCUCGCCGGAAGACCAAGGGUUCCUGUCCAACGUUAAUCGGGGCAGGGUGAGUCGACCCCUAAGGCGAGGCCGAAAGGCGUAGUCGAUGGGAAACAGGUUAAUAUUCCUGUACUUGGUGUUACUGCGAAGGGGGGACGGAGAAGGCUAUGUUGGCCGGGCGACGGUUGUCCCGGUUUAAGCGUGUAGGCUGGUUUUCCAGGCAAAUCCGGAGAAUCAAGGCUGAGGCGUGAUGACGAGGCACUACGGUGCUGAAGCAACAAAUGCCCUGCUUCCAGGAAAAGCCUCUAAGCAUCAGGUAACAUUAAAUCGUACCCCAAACCGACACAGGUGGUCAGGUAGAGAAUACCAAGGCGCUUGAGAGAACUCGGGUGAAGGAACUAGGCAAAAUGGUGCCGUAACUUCGGGAGAAGGCACGCUGAUAUGUAGGUGAAGCGACUUGCUCGUGGAGCUGAAAUCAGUCGAAGAUACCAGCUGGCUGCAACUGUUUAUUAAAAACACAGCACUGUGCAAACACGAAAGUGGACGUAUACGGUGUGACGCCUGCCCGGUGCCGGAAGGUUAAUUGAUGGGGUCAGCGCAAGCGAAGCUCUUGAUCGAAGCCCCGGUAAACGGCGGCCGUAACUAUAACGGUCCUAAGGUAGCGAAAUUCCUUGUCGGGUAAGUUCCGACCUGCACGAAUGGCGUAAUGAUGGCCAGGCUGUCUCCACCCGAGACUCAGUGAAAUUGAACUCGCUGUGAAGAUGCAGUGUACCCGCGGCAAGACGGAAAGACCCCGUGAACCUUUACUAUAGCUUGACACUGAACAUUGAGCCUUGAUGUGUAGGAUAGGUGGGAGGCUUUGAAGUGUGGACGCCAGUCUGCAUGGAGCCGACCUUGAAAUACCACCCUUUAAUGUUUGAUGUUCUAACGUGGACCCGUGAUCCGGGUUGCGGACAGUGUCUGGUGGGUAGUUUGACUGGGGCGGUCUCCUCCUAAAGAGUAACGGAGGAGCACGAAGGUUGGCUAAUCCUGGUCGGACAUCAGGAGGUUAGUGCAAUGGCAUAAGCCAGCUUGACUGCGAGCGUGACGGCGCGAGCAGGUGCGAAAGCAGGUCAUAGUGAUCCGGUGGUUCUGAAUGGAAGGGCCAUCGCUCAACGGAUAAAAGGUACUCCGGGGAUAACAGGCUGAUACCGCCCAAGAGUUCAUAUCGACGGCGGUGUUUGGCACCUCGAUGUCGGCUCAUCACAUCCUGGGGCUGAAGUAGGUCCCAAGGGUAUGGCUGUUCGCCAUUUAAAGUGGUACGCGAGCUGGGUUUAGAACGUCGUGAGACAGUUCGGUCCCUAUCUGCCGUGGGCGCUGGAGAACUGAGGGGGGCUGCUCCUAGUACGAGAGGACCGGAGUGGACGCAUCACUGGUGUUCGGGUUGUCAUGCCAAUGGCACUGCCCGGUAGCUAAAUGCGGAAGAGAUAAGUGCUGAAAGCAUCUAAGCACGAAACUUGCCCCGAGAUGAGUUCU
rnacentral:rRNA from 1 species